UCCACUCUGCAUGGCUUAUGCAGAAGAGAUGUGGAUUUCAGUGAGGCCUGUAGGAUGCCUUGUGUACUCUCUAAGAUGCACUGACGGGCAGGUUCUCCUGUGUCCGGUUCCUCAGAGUGACAGUCUGGAACAUACAGUGUGCAAGGACACA